GAGGAAGAAGACAUAGCCCCAGAAGAAUGCUGGCCAAAGAGCUGGCACAGAUCAAGGAUAUGACACACACUUGGACCACCCUCAGCUCUAUGCUCCUGGGGAGUAAGAAUUGCUGUUCUGGUUAACAUCAUUGUACUCCUAGACUUAGCCCAGAACCUGGAUGUAGUAAGAUCUUUGUUAAAUGUAUUAUUGAAUGGAUUCUCAUUUUAGAAAGAAGGAGCUAUAAAGCUCAGAGAGGUGACGUGACCUGUCCAAAAUCACAUACCUACGACAAGGUUUUGAGAAUCAGGAAUUGGAAAUGGCUUAGCUGAGUGGUUAUGGCUUGGGGUCUUUCUUGAAGUUGCAGUCAAGAUGUUGGCCUGGGCUGCAGUCAUCUGAAGGUUGGACUGGUGCUGGAAGAUCUGCUUCCAAGAUGGCACACUGCAUGGUUAUUGGUAGAACGCCUUAGUUCCUCACCAUGAGAGCCUCUCCAGAGGGCUACUUGAGUGUCCUCAUGACAUGAAAGCUGGCCUCCCCCACAGAGUGAGUGCUUCAGAGAGAGCAAGGAGAAAGUCAAAUACUUUUCAUGAUCUGCACCAUCACACACCACUGCUUCUGUCACAUUCUCUUCAUUAUAAUCAAGUCAUUAAGUUCAGCUCACAUUCAAGGGGAGGAGACUUAGGCUUCACCUGUUGGAGGGAGUAGUAUCAACAAAUUUGUGGACAUACUUUAAAACUCUCACACUACUCUAGGAAGGAAGG
rnacentral:lncRNA from 10 species